rnacentral:rRNA from 1 species
GCAGCAGCCGCGGUAAUACGUAGGGUGCGAGCGUUAAUCGGAAUUACUGGGCGUAAAGCGUGCGCAGGCGGUUUUGUAAGACAGGCGUGAAAUCCCCGGGCUCAGCCUGGGAAUGGCGCUUGUGACUGCAAAGCUAGAGUGCGGCAGAGGGGGAUGGAAUUCCGCGUGUAGCAGUGAAAUGCGCAGAUAUGCGGAGGAACACCGAUGGCGAAGGCAAUCCCCUGGGCCUGCACUGACGCUCAUGCACGAAAGCGUGGGGAGCAAACAGGAUUAGAUACCCCCGUAGUCCCUGUCUCUUAUAC